UUUAUUGGAGAGUUUGAUCCUGGCUCAGGAUGAACGCUGGCGGCGUGCCUAAUACAUGCAAGUCGAGCGAAUGGAUUAAGAGCUUGCUCUUAUGAAGUUAGCGGCGGACGGGUGAGUAACACGUGGGUAACCUGCCCAUAAGACUGGGAUAACUCCGGGAAACCGGGGCUAAUACCGGAUAACAUUUUGAACUGCAUGGUUCGAAAUUGAAAGGCGGCUUCGGCUGUCACUUAUGGAUGGACCCGCGUCGC
rnacentral:rRNA from 1 species